GACGAACGCUGGCGGCGUGCCUAAUACAUGCAAGUCGAACGGAGCGGCGGACGGGGGAGUAAUGCCUAGGAAUCUGCCUGGCAGUGGGGGAUAACGUCCGGAAACGGGCGCUAAUACCGCAUACUAUCAGAUGAGACUAGGUCGGAUUAGCUAGUUGUUGGGGUAAAGGCCUACCCAGGCGACGAUCCGUAACUGAUCUGAGAGGAUGGGCAGUCAAACGGGAGCGGAGACGCGGUCCAGACUCACACGGUAGGCUGCAGUGGAGUGUAUUGUACAAGGGGCGAAAGCCUAGUCCAGCCAUGCCGCGUAUGUGGAAGGGGUCUUCGGAUUUUAAAGCUCAUUAGGUUGUGAAGCGUUACCAACAGAAUAAGCACCGGCUAACUGCGUGCCAGCAGCCGCGGUAAUAC
rnacentral:rRNA from 1 species